CUGUGACCCCACUGAAGGAGACCCAGGAGAUCCAGCCCACAGGGGACAGUCCUUCCUGCCCACCAGCUCCUCUGUGUAUCUCAGAGCUUACAGUCAAAUUGGGAAGAUUAGAUGCACACCCAUAAGAAAUCACACACACAGGAAGCAUAUGAUGGGUGUUGAAACAGUAAAAUAAACUCUUCAUCAAAAAAUCGGAACUACAAACCACCCACCACAUAACAAGCACUAAUAAACAUUUGCUGAUUUUACUUAAUGACAUGGAGGUCUUUGAAUGAAU